AACACCCACAAACAACGUCACGACGCAACGUGGUUAAACAGUACGUUUAUUAAAGUAACUGGGUGAACGACAUCGGAGCGGACUGCAAAUCGCAACGCUACUUUCUCGAGUGCAGAUACUCUUCGAGACGGCUAAACAACGUGUCCAACUCGCUGAGACCUUUCCGCGUGCCGUUAUCCGAUUUCCUUUCCGCCUCCUGAGACAGCCGACUAAUCACGGACUUAUCUCCGCAACCUAACAGAGGCUGGGAGCCCGACAAAAGUAAAACAGCGUGCUAUGAACACGUUGUUACCUCUGCGCGGACAGCGCCGCCACAGAGACACUUACGCAUUGCCGCAUGUCUUUGUAGAUGGAUUCUAGCGUCGAGCGCAUACUAUGCAAUUCCGUCUUAAGUCCAGGAUAGACGUGGUCGCCUGCGGGGAACACGAUCUCCAGAUACCGCCUCAACAACCAGUCCAUGACGCUGCAUCCCCAACAGCCUUUGACCACCGUACCGUCGAGCCACACGGAGUAGUCGUCCUCACGUUGCUACAAGAGGAAAACUACGUCACCCGACACGCGGAAAAGAAAGACCGUCGCAAUAAACCGUACCUACGUGACCUACCAACGUAGGUUUUACUCGAUGAAAGGUGACGCGGAGAUCUUGCAAUCUGGUCGCGUAAUCCUCCGGACGACACUGCGGCUUUGUAUUCUUUAUCGUCGUCGUCGUCGUCGUCGUCGUCGCCGCCGGCUUCGCCUCCUCGGAAGCGCCUAGAAAAAAGACGAUCAGGACCAGAGAGGAAGAGACCAUCACCGACAGCAUCGCCGCAGCAUGCCGCCCCAAUCCGCCGCCCAACUGCGCGUCCCAGAUACCACUCGUAGACUGUCAGCCUCGCGAGGAGACACCGCGGACCGGGGAAACGGAUAAGUUUACGAACAGAAAUCUCAAGAGAAAGACGCUGACCCGGCAAGUACCGUCACGGAGACACGGUGGUUUUUAUUGAAUUUCCAGUGUAUCGAGCCACCGUGAUGCAGGUACGGUGGUUUUAUGUGAAGUGCCGCUAUCUAUAGGCGAUGUGUUCCCUGACGGUGUGUGUUUUUUGGGGAUAGACAACGUGGUUCUUGUACGUGGUUUUUACCCUGCUCAAUAAAGUCACGUUUUCCUUACACGGUGUUGUGUC
rnacentral:sRNA from 1 species